GUGCAUUAUACAAAAUAUGGUGUGUGAGCUGGAUAUUAUCUUUAACUUUGAAAAAGCGUAUUUUAUUCUUGAUGAGUUUAUAAUUGGUGGCGAAGUACAAGACACUUCAAAGAGGUCUGCGGUGAAAGCCAUAGAAGACUCUGACAUGUUGCAGGAGACGGUGGAAGAGUACAUGAACAAACCUGCAUUUUAAUGUUAAAAAUACCUGGAAGAAGAACUGCUGUAUGCACCUGCAAAAUGCAUUUGCUGAAAUUGCUUCUCAAUGUGCCAGAGAAAAACCAAAACCAAUAACUAAAAGGGUUUGUUUGUAUAAUUGUCAAGAUGAAGGUCAGCUAAUGUAGCUCAGGGUUUAACAAUUUUGUAUUUGCAUUACUCUGCAUUUCUCAGAAUUGUUUUUUACCCUUGCUCUAGUUUCUCUUUUCCUUGCUGGACUGAACACUUGUUUUGUAUCACAUCUUUUAGCUACGGGUUUUGUCAUCGUAAAAUGUUCAUCUACCAGUACACGGAAGAGGUAUUUCAACUACUUUUGGUCCACUGCUGACCAUAUGACUCUACUUUUGUACAAAUGUCAAUUAUUUUGAAUGUAAUGAUUAUUCAGCUGUAAUAAUAAGUUUUUUUCUAAAAGA